rnacentral:rRNA from 1 species
AUUGAACGCUAGCGGGAUGCCUUACACAUGCAAGUCGAACGGAGUGGCGAACGGGUGAGUAAUGUAUCGGAACGUGCCCAGUAGCGGGGGAUAACUACGCGAAAGCGUAGCUAAUACCGCAUACUAUUUGAGCGGCCGAUAUCGGAUGGGCCAGGUGGUGGGGUAACGGCUCACCGAGGCGACGAUCCGUAGCUGGUUUGAGAGGACGACCAGCCACACUGGGACUGAGAGACGGCCCAGACGCCUACGGGAGGCAGCGGUGGGGAAGUGUGGAAUAUGGGGGAAACCCUGAUCCAGCCAUGCGGCGUGUGCGAUGAGGGCAUUCGGGUUGUAAAGUACUUUUGGUAGGAAAGCGGUACCUGCAGAAUAAGCACCGGCUAACUACGUGCCAGCAGCCGCGGUAAUUC